CUUUGUCAUACGUUGUUGCAAUGACAUUAACAAAAGCCUUCUGAUUUUAUCUCAGUAAAGCAGACAGUAAGGUGGCGACAGGAUGUUUACAGAGCACACAGUAUGUUCUCAGUUCAAGAUAUUAAAGUUCAUUUCAAGCCAAUGACUAACAGAUAGCUCUCAUUUGUGUGUUUUGUGGCUUUAUAAGUGCCGGAUGUUUAAUGCUGAGCCAGAAGCAAAUUGACAUUCCUCUGCUGAUGUCCACCAACUCGGUUUACACACAAGAUACACGUUUAAUGAAAUAAUUAGAUGCUAUAAAACAAAGAUUGCUAGCUUUUCUCUACUGCUAUUUUUCACAUUAUCUUUGGUUUAGCAGACAACAAACUUCACUUUCAGAGGAUUAGUGGAGAAGUGCUUGUUGAAAGAUUUUUGUUUCUUAAAUUUAGAAGAUGAUUAGAUUAAAUUUUGUAAUUUUUUUACAAUAUUUGUGCAAAUCUAUGACGCUAAAUGUGACUUUUUAUUACUCGAUGUAUCGAUCACAGACUAUAACUUCACAUCAAGAAAGGCUGAGGCAGCAAACAAAUUAUUAGUUUUU